rnacentral:rRNA from 1 species
AAUAGAUACCCUGGUAGUCCACGCCGUAAACGAUGUCGACUUGGAGGUUGUUCCCUUGAGGGAGUGGCUUCCGGAGCUAACGCGUUAAGUCGACCGCCUGGGGAGUACGGCCGCAAGGUUAAAACUCAAAUGAAUUGACGGGGGCCCGCACAAGCGGUGGAGCAUGUGGUUUAAUUCGAUGCAACGCGAAGAACCUUACCUACUCUUGACAUCCAGAGAACUUUCCAGAGAUGGAUUGGUGCCUUCGGGAACUCUGAGACAGGUGCUGCAUGGCUGUCGUCAGCUCGUGUUGUGAAAUGUUGGGUUAAGUCCCGCAACGAGCGCAACCCUUAUCCUUUGUUGCCAGCGGUUCGGCCGGGAACUCAAAGGAGACUGCCAGUGAUAAACUGGAGGAAGGUGGGGAUGACGUCAAGUCAUCAUGGCCCUUACGAGUAGGGCUACACACGUGCUACAAUGGCGUAUACAAAGAGAAGCGACCUCGCGAGAGCAAGCGGACCUCAUAAAGUCGUCGUAGUCCGGAUUGGAGU